GACGAACGCUGGCGGCGUGCUUAACACAUGCCAGUCGUACGGUAAGGCCCUUUCGGGGGUACACGAGUGGCGCACGGGUGAGUAACACGUGAGUAACCUGCCCACAACUUUGGGAUAACGCUAGGAAACUGGUGCUAAUACUGGAUAUGUGCUCCUGCUGCAUGGUGGGGGUUGGAAAGCUCCGGCGGUUGUGGAUGGACUCGCGGCCUAUCAGCUUGUUGGUGGGGUAGUGGCCUACCAAGGCGGCGACGGGUAGCCGGCCUGAGAGGGUGACCGGCCACAUUGGGACUGAGAUACGGCCCAGACGCCUACGGGAGGCAGCAGUGGGGAAUAUUGCACAAUGGGCGCAAGCCUGAUGCAGCAACGCCGCGUGCGGGAUGACGGCCUUCGGGUUGUAAACCGCUUUCAGCAGGGACGAAGCUUUUUGUGACGGUACCUGCAGAAGAAGCACCGGCUAACUACGUG
rnacentral:rRNA from 1 species